rnacentral:lncRNA from 1 species
AUAAACAUCUGUAUGGUAGAAGAUACCUAAUUAUAAUGGAUGAUAUGUGGAGCAUCGAUGCAUGGGAUAGAGUUAGGAAUUAUUUUCCGGAUAGCAAAAACCGUAGCAGAAUAGUGGUAACAACAAGGCUAUCUGCUUUGGCUUCUAAAUUACCUAACUCUGAUAGCCUUGGGAUGAAACUUUUGGAUGAGGCUGAAAGUUGGGAGCUUCUCUCCAAAACUGUGUUUGGGGAAGAAGGUUGGCCUCUUGAAUUGGAGGAAAUCGGAAAAAAGAUUGGAAAAAGCUGCAAAGGACUUCCAUUGUCAAUUGUUGUGGUGGGAGGCCUUUUGGCAAAGUCCAAACAUGAAAGAGAGUGUUGGGAAGAGAUAGGGGAAAACAUGAAUGCAAGUGUUAAUUUAGAGGAUGAUGAACGUUGCUUGAAAAUACUAUACAUGAGUUACAAGCAAUUGCCAAUACAUUUGAAACCAUGUUUUCUCUAUAUGGGAGUUUUUCCCGAAGAUGGAGAUUCCUAUCUCAGACCUCAUCAAAUAUUGGGUUGCGGAGGGAUUUGUGAAAGCAGUAAGUGGAAAAAGCUUGGAAGAGAUAGCAAAAGAGUAUUUAAAAGACCUGAUUGCUAGAAAUCUUGUUUUAAGGGAGUAUUAUUGGGGAAUGAAGUGGUGCCAAAUUCAUGACUUGUUGAGAGACUUGUGCUUGAGAGAAGCUGAAAAAGAAAGGUUUUAUAAUACGGCAUCAGAUAAUGAUGUCAUAGGGGCCUUACCACCUAUGUCAGAAGCUCGUUGUUUGACGUGGAAUGUUGGACGAAAACUAUCACCUCUCAAUAUGAGCUUGUUGAGGAUAAUGAAAACAACUGGAUACCAAUGGGCCAAAGAAGCUUUAUCUGGACACGUGGAUCAAUUAGUUAACUCACGGUUCCUUCAAAUAGGUCAUUACUUUGGAGUAAUAAGUGAGUGGAAUUUUCCUAGUUCAAUAUGGCGAUUUUGGAAUCUACAAACACUAAUUGUUGACGACUACAAUAUGCAUGAGGUUAUUACUGUGCCAACUGAUUUUUGGUACAUGCCUCACAUCAGGCAUGUUAAGUUCCACAACGGUCUUCGUCUCCCAGAUCCUCCUAACAACCAAGAUGACAUUGUUUUGGGAAAUCUUCAAAGUUUGGGGAGAGUAUUAAAUUUCAAAUGUAGCGAACAAGUGGUCCAAAAAUUUCCCAAUAUAAAAGUAUUGGUUUUUUGUAAUGUCGAUGAGAUGUAUUGUUUGAGCAAUCUCGAUUGUCUAACUAAACUUGAGUCCUUGGAUUGCGAGAUUUCUCCAAGAAGUGCAAUCAACUUUCCCCAUUCGCUCAAGAGAUUGGUUCUCUCGACUGAUUGUUGGAAGACAUAUUGGAUAAGGUAGGUGUGUUGCCCCUCUUCAGAAGCUCAACUCGAUAUGGGAGUUCAAGGAAGGGAAGUGGGAAACAACUGAAGACCAAUUCCGCAGCCUCAAAUUCUUGACUCUCAUGGAUACUGAUAAUCUAGAAAUCUGGAAAAUUGAAAGCUCCCACUUUCCAUGCCUUGAACGCCUUCAUCUUCUGGACUAUAUGAGUUGCGGGAAAUCCCUUUAGAGUUCGCAGAAAUACCCACACUCAGAGAAAUUCGUGUGGAAUAUUGCAGUGAUUCUGUUGUGGUUUCUGCAAAAAGAAUAUCAGAGGAACACGAGGACUAUUACGGGGAAGAAGCCCUUCAAGUUCUCGUUUACCUCGGGAGUACUAACGAAGGACUGUCGGAGAGCUUGGAUAGUCCUAACUUUUGUGUUGUACGUCGCUGAGAAUCACUACUUAAGGUACACAGAAGAAAAUGUAGAUUUGGUUAAAAUUGAUUGAAUUCCUACUUUUGAUUUGUAAUAUUUGAGUGAUGGAACAAGUGUGCAAUGCAGGUAGUGUGUGGGGAAAGCGCACAGCACAGGAUGAAUCCAUUCACGCGUAUGCUCUGUUUCUCUUCAUGUUUUGGCUUCUUUCUUUUCAAUUCUUAUUCAUUGGCUAUUUCCACUUUUUCAUUGGCAGCAUAGCUGAAAUACAAGUGAGGGAUAAAGAGUAUUAUACGUCAUAAUAAAUAAAUAUUUUUAUAUACGAACAUAAAUAAAAAAGUUGUAAAAUUUUAACAAAAAGAGAGAAAAUAAAAUAUUUUAACUUUUCAUAAUUUAUUCGUUUUAAAUUCAUUUUUGAUGAUUUUUAUACCAUAUUAAAUAUUUUGUCAUGAAGUUAUAUAUAAUAUGCAUAUUAAAUAUUUAUGCAUAAAUUAAAUUUGAGGAUGUUUACAAAAGAAUUAAAAAUAGAGAAAAAUUGGCGGGGGAAGAAAGAGAAAUAAAGGAAAAAAACUCAUCUUUUAUGUAUUAUAUUAUUAUAUUGAUUGACAAGGAAUUAAUCUUAUUAUACCUCAAAAAUAAAAAAAGAAUUAAUCUUAUUAUUUUUAUAUCAUUAUAUAAUACGAUUAGUAAUUCUUGAUCUCCCAAGACAGCUGGCGAGCGCUCGACCGCCCAAGCCUAGAUUUCUGAGCUUCUCUUUUUUCUUUUUUUUGGUGUGUCUCGAUUGGUUGGAAUUUCAAAACGCAGCCGCCGUGAUUUCAAACUCGCACAAAAGUUGGACACAAAAUCUUGGUACACAUGGGUGUACCGUACAACUGGGUUGACCCGUACCCAGAAUAGUAUUUAUCAUAAAGUAUCCCACACCUGUUAAUAUUAAUAACAAAAAAAGAAGUUUGAUGAUUGGACUAUGAAACCGUGCAAGAAUUCUUAGUUUGAAUACAUGUUUGCUUAGAAAUAUGAAAUAUCUAUGCUACCAGCCUACCACUACUGAGCCAAAAAUAUCUAUGUUUACAUCUUUUUAAAACUUUGUUCAUGUCUACUUAAAAACUACUAGGAAUGAUUUUGUGCUGGUUGUGAAAAUCAAUAAUGCUUUUCUGUGAAGCCAUAAAUAUAAUUCACCAUUAUUUAUUUCAGUAUUAUUGUAUUUCUUAUUACACAUAAAUAUGGCUAUGCAUCAGUUGUAUGACAUGUAAGUAUACACAACACAAACUGAUUGUAAAUUUUACUGUGUAUUAGUAGUAUAGUGCAGUUGUAUGAUUACUGUUUUUGUUGUUGCUUAUCCUCGUGCUUUUUUCAGGGAAUUAAUGAGAUUAAUGCGUGGCUAAGAAUUUUUUGAAUGACAUAACUCUACCAAAUAUGAAAUUAAUUUUUAUAAUUUCUGUUUAUGCUUAAUCGUGAAGUUUCUAAAUAGUGAGAAUCGAUUGGAAGAUAAAAAUAGUUAGCCCAAGACAACAAAUCAAUUCCUUAGAUUAUUGAAAGCAAGAUUAUCAAUUGGGUCUAUUGCACAAGUUGGCCCAUGGCAAAGGACAAAAUUCCCUAAUAUCGACCUAACUCUGAUUAAUUUCAAUGGGCUUUGUGAAAAAUGAAAUCAUUUAAUUCAUGAAUUUGUUCAUUGACUCUGUCUACGUCAUGCACAAAAUAUAUCUUACAUAUCAAUAAUUUUUUGGAAAUUUCGAGGAAAGAGCCUCUAAUUGUAUCCAUAUUGUUGACGUCCGCAAUGUGUAAACGAUAUCGUGGACGGAGGGAGUAUAUUUUUUCUUCUUAUUUUUUUGUUUUUCCAAAAUAUUCAAUCUCACACUGUUCUUUUAUAAAACUUCAUCAAAUACAAAUUUAUAUGAAAUGAUACUUCUAUUAUAUCAACUAAAUUUUGACAUUUAAUUAGUAAAAAUAAUCAAAUUAAAUUUAUUUAAAUUAUGACAAAAAGUCAUUUCCGUCUAAAACGUUCGAAUACUAGUGGUGUAACCCAUCAAAAAACAUUAAGGCUGCGUUUACAUUGAUGGAUAAAUUUAUCCAUGGAAAAUGAUGGAUAACAAAAAUUUAUGCCUUCAAAUGUUUUAUUUAUUUUCCAACAUUUGACACAAAAGAGAUGUUCACUAUUUUUCCUUCCUUAUUUUCACUUCAAAGAUGGAUAAUAUUAUCCAAAUGUUGAAAAAAAAAUGAAACAUUUUAAAGUAUAAAUUUUUGUUAUCCAUCAUUUUUCAUAGAUAAAUUUAUCCAUCAAAAUGAACGCAGCCUAAUAGCAUAAAUUUAUAAAUACAUGGCCCAACAUUUGAGCGUUGUCUCUCCUCCUCUAUUAUUUCGAAUAAAGUUUCCACUAAUUCACACUAAUCAAUGCUAGCUGUGAAUUGACAGCUCAAAAAGAAAAAGUUUCCACUAAUUGAGUUAUACAGUAUAUUGAAUUGAAUUUAUUGUUAGAUUUUGAGAAUAAAGAAUCAGAGUCUCAUCUUCUUCCUUCACAACUCCGAAGCAAUAAUACAAGCCAUGGCAGCAGCUUACGCAGCUCUGGUUUCUGCUAUGCAUAUCAUAAACAACCUUCACCAUCAUCCUCGCCCUCCUAUUUCUCUCCACAUUCAACAAGUUGAGUCUCUCACUCAAAAGAUUAAUUUCCUGCUUGAAUUUCUCGAGGGGUAUAACCCCCAUCGUGGCUACUCCAAAGAAGCGGAUCCAUUGGAGUCUCGCAUUGCAGAUGCAGCUUAUGCGGCCGAAUACGCCAUUGAAUCUCAUAUUUUCGAUCAGGUCACAAAUAAUGGAGAAAAUAUGAGUUCUCAUGGCUUGUAUGAAGCUCUCGAGAAGGUGAUAGAAGACAUGGCUUCGAUCGAAGAGGAAGCCAAGCAAAUUCAAGGGAGAGUUGGACUCCAACAUCAGCUGCACACAAAGUCAACGCCUUUGGAUUCAUCGAGAUCUUCUUCGAUUCCACAGCAGAGUAGCAUGGUGGGUGCUGAUGAUGUCAAGCUUCAAUUGAUGGAUAAGCUCACUUCUGAUAGCCUUCAUCUACAGAUCAUUCCCAUUGUAGGGAUGGGCGGCUCCGGUAAGACCACUCUUGCUAAAACUGUUUAUGAAGAACGUCUUAUUAAGGAGCAUUUUGAUAUUUGUGCGUGGGCUACCAUCUCUCAAGAAUAUGUCAUUAGAGAAAUUUUUGAAGUAGUUCUUCGUCAGUUUAAUAUAGGAGUUGAUGACGAUUUGAAUGAGCAUGAAUUAGGAGAUAAGUUGUAUAAACAUCUUUAUGGUAGAAGAUACCUAAUUAUAAUGGAUGAUAUGUGGAGCAUUGAUGCAUGGGAUAGAGUUAGGAAUUAUUUUCCGGAUAGCAAAAACCGUAGCAGAAUAGUGGUAACAACUAGGCUAUCUGCUUUGGCUUCUAAAUUACCUAACUCUGAUAGCCUUGGGAUGAAACUUUUGGAUGAGGCUGAAAGUUGGGAGCUUCUCUCCAAAACUGUGUUUGGGGAAGAAGGUUGGCCUCUUGAAUUGGAGGAAAUCGGAAAAAAGAUUGGAAAAAGCUGCA